UACGUAGGGGGCAAGCGUUGUCCGGAAUCAUUGGGCGUAAAGAGCGCGUAGGCGGCCCAGUAAGUCCGCUCUGAAAGUCAGGGGCUCAACCUCCAGCCUGCAGUGGGUACGGGCAAACUAGAGUGCGGUAGGGGAGAUUGGAAUUCCUGGUGUAGCGGUGGAAUGCGCAGAUAUCAGGAGGAACACCGAUGGCGAAGGCAGAUCUCUGGGCCGUAACUGACGCUGAGGAGCGAAAGCGUGGGGAGCGAACAGG
rnacentral:rRNA from 1 species